AUACUCGUUCAGUUUGGUAAUCCACACUUUAUCCGGGAACAUGGCGAAAUACGCCAUUUUUGCGAUUCUCCUCGCAAUUGGAGUUUACUGGACGAAUGGGUCAUCAAUUGCGGCCAAGUCUAUUUCCACAGCGGUUGGAGAUAAUCUUGGAAAGGAGACCCUGUCAUUGGUUAAGAAAAAGAGGCAAAAUUUUAACGAAUUUGCCACACCGAUAGGAUCCAACAAACGAAAACGGAACCAUGAAACCUCCGCAGAAAUUAGCGAUGAUGUUGGACCAGUGAAUCACGUCCCUCUUGUAGAUGCGGAUGAACCGAAAAGGCACCAUGAACAUAAGGCCGGGGCCAAGAGACCACGGAAAAAUAAAUACAAGAGGAAGAAAGGACCAAAAAAUAGCCACAGAAAGAAGCACAAACCCAUCGGAAAACAUGCACAAAAAUCUUGCGCAUCUAAAAAAUGUUGGGCAUAAAUAUAGUUUUAUUAUGUAUUAUUUAACGUAAAUAUGUAGGGAUAAUUGGUCAAUUUGUUACAAUACUUUACAGUUUCAACUUGAUUAUAUUCACAUAAUAAGUAAAUGCAUACAUACAUACAUAUUUAACUAUAAUAAUAUUCUUACGCAGAACCAAAAGUCCAUACAUUUGCACAUCAUAUAUAUGUGCAUAAAUAUUUUGUGGGUUUGAUUUAGCAUGGAAGCGUUAAUGCUCUGAUAGAGAAUUAUUAGGUACAUAUGUACAUUCACCAUAAAUAUAGUCCUAUCUGCAUCAGACUUCGCAUUACAAUAUAUACCGGCUGAAGAAUCAACAAAGCAAUCAAUCAACAAAUUCGUGGUAAUGGUUGUAUAAUAUACAUAAACUUUUGUACCCAAGUUUGGUUUGGAGGAUAACUAACAAUGCGAUGGUGUGAAGUGUAACCCUCCGAUUUGGUUGAAAUUUUGAAAUUAUGUGGUCCAUGUCAAUACAAACAACGUUUCUUCAGGCAGUUUGUGCGAUGGUCAGAAUUUGUCAAAAUAUUUUAGGUUAAAGUUGAAAAAUGUGACAUUUUUAGCACGGGAAGAGGAUGGAAGUUGAGUGUGCAUCCUCCGUCUGGUAAAAAUCGCCCGUUUUUCAACUUUGACCUCAAAUGGACCUAUCGACACGGAAAUAACGGGCAUUAGUAACGGUGAGGUAAUGAAAAAUUAACCACUCAGAAACAAACUAGUACCAAUUCGGUAGGAAUUUAUUACUAAAUCAAUAACAGCGCGUUAUAUACAUAAACAUGUAUGGAUGUACAUAUGUAUAUGUGGUUUGGCCAGAUUUUUAACAGUGCAGAUAAGCAUCAGUGUGGAAUCAUAAAGUCAAUAAUCUCUUUAUCGCCAUAUAUGUAGAUAACCUCCAGCAGAGGAAAUUCAUCCACUCAACUUUCUGUUGAGUGGUCAUAUUUUCCUCAAAUUGCUGAGCCAGGAUGUGUGUGAUUCGCAAAAGUGCUUAGCCUUCUGACGAGAGUUCGUUUAGGUUCUCCCUUAUUGCGAAUAAUCUUUAAAUUUUGCAAUACAAUAUAAAAAAUUAAUGUCAAACUAUCAACCACAAAUCAAAAAGCGACGAAAACGGCCCCUCGGCUAUUUUACCCCGGAACAUGAAAAGCGCAGAAGGAUGGACGCGAAGAGGAGAAAGACCCUUGCGACUAUGCCGCAAACCCCGAGCCAGAUUCGCCCCGACUCUGAUCGCUGUAUCAGUCCGACAUCCAUCCACGCCAUUCUGGACGAAGAAAGCGGCGAAGACGUCAAACGCGACGUGGUCCUGCCAAGCCGGCCCACCAAUACUAAUACCGGAUUGGGAGUAAAACGAGAAACUUGUAAUAAUAAUCCCCCUGUUGCGAAAAGACCUCGACCUAGUUGUGAACCAUUAUUGGACGAGGACAACACUUGUGUAAUAUCGUGCGGAAAUAUGGAUGAUACGAAUUUCUCCGUAACUAUGUGUGGUCACAUUGUGCAUACGAAUUGCUGGGACAAGAUUAAUAGUCAGGACCCAGUUAACAAGAUGUGCCCUUACUGCAAUAUGCCUGCUGGAGACCUGCGUAGAAUAUAUAUACAGUCUUCCAAUGCUAAUAAGGAGAAAACGUAUCACGAUGAAAUUGCGAGACUUAAAAAGAAAUUAAAGAAAUGUGAAUAUAAUGUCAUCAAACCGUUUAAUGAGGCUGCGACUUGUUACAAUUGCGAGUCCUAGAGUCACUUGACAAGCAAGUGCAAAAGAAAUUGCAUAUUUAAAGUGUAAAUUUAAGCGUGCAAUGCAUAAAAUCGCAUAGGUCGCCAGGUCCAGCACAUAUUCUUUCUACCCGUGAAACACAAUCAACAAUAGAGUCGAACCAAUCAACAUCCUUUCGAUCACCUCAAUUUCUCACCUCCCAUUCAUAAAUACGUACAUCCAGCAUUAUUGUCGCCUUGACCAUAACAAUGCAACCAGGAAGAAAAAAAAUCAGUCCAAAUGAACCACCCUACUGCGUAAAGCUACUUAAUUAUUCAUUCAACAGUUCAGUUAUCCGUGAGCAUGGCGAAAUACGCCAUUUUUGCGGUCUUACUCGUAUUUUGUGCAUACGGGACGAAUGGAUCAUCCAUUUCGGCCAAGUCUAUUUCCACAGUGGUGGGAGAUAAUCUAGGAAGGGAAACACCCUCCUUGGUACACAACCGAAGAAAGUAAAAAAAAAGCGACAAAAUUUUAACGACUUUGCCACACCGAUAGGAUCCAACCAGGGUGCAUAAACAUUUUUGUUGUCCGUGGUUUCUCCUAAGGGGGUGGUGCAAGGAUGAAUAUUUUUUUCAAAAAAAUCGAAAAAUCAAAAGUUGGGGAAUUGCAUGCAAUUUUGCCAUGAAUUUGGUUGUCAACCACUUUUCAAAAAUGAAAUAAAUACAUUUCAUCCUGGCCUCCAUCUCCGAAAAUGAAGAAUAAGCUCGGAGAUUGUUAAGAGCGGUCAAGUGGUUGACCAGUAAGGGUCAUAUAGGUCGGAUAAGGUCGUUGGUACAGAAUAUUAGAAUUUGUAAAAUUUGGCUAACAACCAAAUGCAUGGCAAAAUUGCAUGCAAUUCCCCAACUUUUGAUUUUUCGAUUUUUUUGAAAAAAAUAUUCAUCCUUGCACCACCCCUUUAGGAGAAACCACGGACAACAAAAAUGUUUAUGCACCCUGGGAUCCAACAAACAAAAACGGGACCAUGACACCCCCGCGGAAAUUAGCGAUGAUGUAGGACAAGAGAAUCAUGUCCUUCCUGAAGAUGCGGAUGAACCGAAAAGGCACCAUGAACAUAAAGCAGGCAACAAGAAACCACGGAAAAAUAAAUACAAGAAGAAUAGAGGGCCAAAACAUGGUCACAUGAGGAAGCACAAAUUCAACGGAAAGCAUGCAACAAAAUCUUGUAAAAUCACUGGGAGAUGCUGAAAGCGAGCACCUAGGGAGAAAAAUACUUUAUUCUGUAUUGCUUAACGUUAAUAUUCAGUGAUAAUUGGUCAAUUUUGCAAUAAGGUGAAGUAUAUUUAUCGAAUCAUGUACAAAUAUGUAUCAACAAUACUUUGCGGUUCCAACUUGACUGUAUUUGUAAUAAAUAAAUAAAUGCAUACAUAUUUAAUCAAUGA